UUAUUGUAGCUAUUAUGUGCUUCACCUCAGUUAUUUUUAUAGUUGUGGGAUUAAAAUACGUACAUGGGGUUUGGGCCAGGCCCAUCACAUGGUCAGGUCACACAACAUAUGCCUAUGCCUACAUACUGUACUGUGCAUUAUGGUCCAUUAAAAAAAUUUCUAUUUUGGGAUCUUCUCAGUUUUCAGAAUUUCGGACAUUGGUACUUGCCUGGUACAGUAUAGUACGUUACUGGUGGAUUAUUCCAUGAGUUUGCAAGUGUUUACAAGUAUUACUCCAAAGACGUGACUCCCCACAGUGUUCUGUGAUGAGCUAUUUUAACCCAAAGUAGUGUAGUGCUCCACAGAAGAAAAAUUGGAGCUCAGGCCGCGAAUGUUGGAAAAAUGAAGAGUGAAAAGAGCCAAACCUCCAGCAACCAAGGUGACAUCAGUUGAGACCCCAUGAACUUUUAAAACUCAGAACAGAUAACAGUAACUCAAUGAGGUGCAAUCAGUGCUUCAAGCCGUACCCGACACAGCAAAAAACAACAAAAAACAGUGCAGUGGAUGGUGCAUCACAGAUAUUAAGUGAAAUCAUCAUACAAGUAUACAAUGAUUCACAAAAAUUAGUUACCACUGGGGGUGGAUGGCUUUUUAAGUUUCAUCACUAAGGGUGGACGACAUCAAAAAAGGUUGAGUAGCACUGCACUAAAUUACUUACCAAGAU